UGCGGAAUUUUAGAUAAGGGCGGCAACUCUGAUCUAGCGACGCCGCGUGCAGGAAGAAGGUCUUCGGAUUGUAAACUGCUGUGGUAAGGGAAAAAUGUCAUGUAGAGUGGAAAGCUACAUGGAGGGAUGGUACCUUACUAGAAAGCCCCGGCUAACUACGUGCCAGCAGCCGCGGUAAUACGUAGGGGGCGAGCGUUACCCGGAAUCACUGGGCGUAAAGGGAGCGUAGGUGGCCUGACAUGUCAACUGUGAAAACCCGGAGCUCAACUCCGGACUUGCAGUUGAAACUGCCAGGCUUGAGGACGGUAGAGGAAGACGGAACUGCCAGUGUAGGGGUAAAAUCCUUAGAUAUUGGCAGGAACGCCGGUGACGAAGGUGGUUUUCUGGGCCGGUUCUGACACUGAUGCUCGAAAGCCAGGGGAGCGAACG
rnacentral:rRNA from 1 species